rnacentral:rRNA from 1 species
GAUGAACGCUGGCGGCGUGCCUAAUACAUGCAAGUCGAGCGAACAGACGAGGAGCUUGCUCCUUCGACGUUAGCGGCGGACGGGUGAGUAACACGUAGGUAACCUACCUAUAAGACUGGGAUAACUUCGGGAAACCGGAGCUAAUACCGGAUAAUAGUUCGAACCGCAUGGUUCGAUAGUGAAAGAUGGAUUUGCUAUCACUUAUAGAUGGACCUGCGCCGUAUUAGCUAGUUGGUAAGGUAACGGCUUACCAAGGCAACGAUACGUAGCCGACCUGAGAGGGUGAUCGGCCACACUGGAACUGAGACACGGUCCAGACUCCUACGGGAGGCAGCAGUAGGGAAUCUUCCGCAAUGGGCGAAAGCCUGACGGAGCAACGCCGCGUGAGUGAUGAAGGUCUUCGGAUCGUAAAACUCUGUUAUUAGGGAAGAACAAACGUGUAAGUAACUGUGCACGUCUUGACGUUACCUAAUCAGAAAGCCACGGCUAACUACGUG